rfam:Bacillus manliponensis strain JCM 15802 contig42, whole genome shotgun sequence.
GGGCGCUGUAUGCGAUGAAAGUCGCACGUACAGUGCUAAGCGGGGGAAAAGAUGGAGAUAACUUUAAAGUCUUACCUAUCGCAAC